GUAUAUAGCUCAGUAGGAUAGAGCGUCCCCCUCCUAAGGGGAAGGCCGCAGGUUCGAUUCCUGCUAUGCGC
rnacentral:tRNA from 1 species